GUACCUUUCUAAAGUUGAUGCAGUUGCUUUAUAUUGACAAUGCAGAAGGGUAAAGUAAGAGUCCAUAAAAACCUAGAAAGGAGGUUGCAAAACUCUUCUUUGGAUUCUGCCUGGAAACAAAGUG